AGCCAUCCAAGCUUGUGGACUCUAAAGGCCGUGUUGUCGAACUACCAUUUGAUGGUGAAGUUUCCAACUUUGAAUGGAAUAAAAAAAAUCAGAGGCAACCAGAUCAUGGAUGGACAGUGUUUUCUGUCAAACUUCAAACAGAAAGCUAGCCAUUCUAGGUAGAGAUCCAACCUGAGCUUCCUAUUGGGUUAGAUACCCA
rnacentral:lncRNA from 1 species